rnacentral:rRNA from 1 species
CCUACGGGUGGCAGCAGUGAGGAAUAUUGGUCAAUGGGCGGGAGCCUGAACCAGCCAAGUCGCGUGAGGGAAGACGGUCCUAUGGAUUGUAAACCUCUUUAGGCGGGGAGCAAUGCCGGGCACGCGUGCCCGGAGGGAGAGUACCCGCAGAAUAAGCAUCGGCUAACUCCGUGCCAGCAGCCGCGGUAAUACGGAGGAUGCGAGCGUUAUCCGGAUUUAUUGGGUUUAAAGGGUGCGUAGGCGGAUUUUUAAGUCAGCGGUAAAAUGUCCGGGCUCAACCCGGGCCGGCCGUUGAAACUGGGGAUCUUGAGUGGGCGAGAAGUAUGCGGAAUGCGUGGUGUAGCGGUGAAAUGCGUAGAUAUAAGGAAGAACACCAGUGGCGAAGGCGGAUGACUGGACGGCAACUGACGGUGAGGCGCGAAAGCGUGGGGAGCAAACAGGAUUAGAUACCCCAGUAGUC